rnacentral:rRNA from 1 species
UACGGGGGGGAGCAAGCGUUGUUCGGAUUUACUGGGCGUAAAGGGCGCGUAGGCGGUCGUGACAAGUCACUUGUGAAAUCUCCGGGCUUAACUCGGAACGGUCAAGUGAUACUGUCGGACUAGAGUACAGAAGGGGCAACUGGAAUUCCCAGUGUAGCGGUGAAAUGCGCAGAUAUUGGGAGGAACACCAGCGGCGAAGGCGGCACUCUGGGCUGGUAUUGACGCUGAGGAACGAAAGCGUGGGGAGCGAACAGG